rnacentral:rRNA from 1 species
UCUAGGGGGGCUGCAGUGAGGAAUAUUGGUCAAUGGGCGAGAGCCUGAACCAGCCAAGUCGCGUGAGGGAGUACUGCCCUAUGGGUUGUAAACCUCUUUUGUCGGGGAGCAAAAGCCGGACGUGUCCGGCUGUGAGAGUACCCGAAGAAAAAGCAUCGGCUAACGCCGUGCCAGCAGCCGCGGUAAUACGGAGGAUGCGAGCGUUAUCCGGAUUUAGUGGGUUUAAAGGGUGCGCAGGCGGAUUAUUAAGUCAGCGGUUAAAUCGUGGGGCUCAACCCCAUCCAGCCGUUGAAACUGGGGGGCUAGAGUGUGCGAGAGGUAUGCGGAAUGCGUGGUGUAGCGGUGAAAUGCAUAGAUAGCACGCAGAACCCCGAUUGCGAAGGCAGCAUACCGGUGCACAACUGACGCUCAGGCACGAAAGCGUGGGUAUCGAACAGGAUUAGAUACCCGGGUAGUC